CAGCGUCAGUUGGCGAUGAGGUCAGGGAAUGCAGAUUGCCCCGAGUCACCUUUGGCAGAGCCCCAAACUCGUCUGAUGACAUUUGGUUCCAACGCACACCUGUGAAGUUGACUUUUUUGUUCCUGUUUCAUAGAUAAAAGAAGACUGAGGUUAGAAGACAAUUUGUCCAGGUCCCAAGUCAGUACAGCUGAGUUUGGGUCCCAACAUGACUUUGCAUUUUAUGUAUUGAUGUGAAUCCAUUCCAGACAGAACCAGAGUUUUCCCUGUCAAGGGUCUCCUGUCUCCUUGUCUUUGCUGAUUCAGCCAUUUGCUCGACAGUCUUAAAGAGGAUGAGAAGCAUCUCUCACAACGGCCAAAGGGAAAAGUGGCUGAGGAUUGGAGUGGGGAGAAGACAGGCAGGGCAAUCUGAGGGGUGACUCUCGUAGAGCUAUAUCAAAGCAUGGGCUCUGCACUUGGCCUCUGGGAACACGAAAUGAACAGUUGAAGUCUUUAUCUCACAUUACCUGUCUGCCCCAUCACUUGUCCAAGUGGUUUCACAGCAAUGAUACUCUGUGGGAACUUAACACCCCACAGUCUGGGCUCAGAGAUAAGCUAUCAAUGC